UACGUAGGGGGCUAGCGUUGUCCGGAUUUAUUGGGCGUAAAGAGCGUGUAGGCGGCCAGGUAGGUCCGGUGUGAAAACUCGAGGCUCAACCUCGAGAUGUCAUCGGAAACCAUCUGGCUAGAGUCCGGAAGAGGAGAGUGGAAUUCCUGGUGUAGCGGUGAAAUGCGCAGAUAUCAGGAAGAACACCAAUGGCGAAGGCAGCUCUCUGGGACGGUACUGACGCUGAGACGCGAAAGCGUGGGGAGCAAACAGG
rnacentral:rRNA from 1 species